rnacentral:rRNA from 1 species
CCCUUAGAUGUUCUGGGCCGCACGCGCGCUACACUGAUGCAUUCAACAAGCCUAGCCUUGACCGAGAGGUCCGGGUAAUCUUUGAAACUGCAUCGUGAUGGGGCUAGAUUAUUGCAAUUAUUAAUCUUCAACGAGGAAUGCCUAGUAAGCGUGAUUCAUCAAAUCGCGUUGAUUACGUCCCUGCCCUUUGUACACACCGCCCGUCGCUCCUACCGAUUGAAUGUGUUGGUGAGGAGCUCGGAUUGGCAGCAGUUGGUGGUUCGCCACCGGCUAUUGCUGAGAAGUCCUCCAAACCGCCCCGUUUAGAGGAAGGAGAAGUCGUAACA